rnacentral:rRNA from 1 species
UACGGAGGGUGCGAGCGUUGUCCGGAAUCACUGGGCGUAAAGGGCGCGUAGGUGGCCUGUGGAAGUCUGCGGUGAAAGCCCGGCGCUCAACGCCGGGUCGGCCGUGGAUACUCUCGGGAUCGAGCUUACUAGAGGCAGAUGGAAUUCCGGGUGUAGCGGUGGAAUGCGUAGAGAUCCGGAAGAACACCGGUGGCGAAGGCGGUCUGCUGGGGUAAUGCUGGACACUGAUGCGCGACAGCGUGGGGAGCAAACAGG